AGUCUAGCGGCUAGGAUAUCUGGCUUUCACCCAGGAGGCCCGGGUUCGAUUCCCGG
rnacentral:tRNA from 1 species